UCCCCCACGCCUCUCCACGAUGCGCAACCCGGGGGAU
rnacentral:sRNA from 19 species